rnacentral:rRNA from 1 species
UACGUAGGGGGCAAGCGUUGUCCGGAUUUAUUGGGCGUAAAGAGCGUGUAGGCGGCUAUAUAGGUCCGCUGUGAAAACUCGAGGCUCAACCUCGAGACGUCGGUGGAAACCGUAUGGCUAGAGUCCGGAAGAGGAGAGUGGAAUUCCUGGUGUAGCGGUGAAAUGCGCAGAUAUCAGGAAGAACACCCGUGGCGAAGGCGGCUCUCUGGGACGGUACUGACGCUGAGACGCGAAAGCGUGGGGAGCGAACAGG